rnacentral:rRNA from 1 species
AUUGAACGCUGGCGGCAUGCUUUACACAUGCAAGUCGAACGGUAGAGGGGGCAACCCCUUGAGAGUGGCGAACGGGUGAGUAAUGCAUCGGAACGUGCCCAGUCGUGGGGGAUAACGCAGCGAAAGCUGUGCUAAUACCGCAUACGAUCUCUGGAUGAAAGCGGGGGACCGAAAGGCCUCGCGCGAUUGGAGCGGCCGAUGUCAGAUUAGGUAGUUGGUGGGGUAAAGGCCCACCAAGCCAACGAGCUGUAGCUGGUCUGAGAGGACGACCAGACGGACUGUGACUGAGACACGACCCAUACUCCUACGGGAGGCAGCAGUGGGGAAAGUUGGACGAUGGGCGCAAGCCUGAUCCAGAAAUGCCGCGUGCAGAAAGAAGGCCUUCGGGUUGUAAACUGCUUUUGUACGAAACGAAAAGGGCUAGGUUAAUACCCUUGGCACAUGACAGUACCGUAAGAAUAAGCACCGGCUAACUACGUGCCAGCAGCCGCCGUAA